GCACUUUCAGUAGGGAGGAAGGUAGUGUAGUUAACACCUGCAUUAUUUGACGUUACCUACAGAAGAAGCACCGGCUAACUCCGUGCCAGCAGCCGCGGUAAUACGGGAGGGUGCGAGCGUUAAUCGGAAUUACUGGGCGUAAAGCGCAUGCAGGCGGCCUGUUAAGUCAGAUGUAGAAAGGCCCGGGGACCGUUUAACCCGUACCGGUAAAUUGCUAUUUAGUAAACGUGGCGAGGCUAGAGUCUUGUAGAGGGGGGUAGGAAUUUCAGGUGUAGCGGUGAAAUGCGUAGAGAUCUGAAGGAAUACCAGUGGCGAAGGCGGCCCCCUGGACAAAGACUGACGCUCAGAUGCGAAAGCGUGGGGAGCAAACAGGAUUAGAUACCCUGGUAG
rnacentral:rRNA from 1 species